UUCCCUCCUGUCAAAUCUACACUUCGUAACAAGAAGAAGCCCACAAAGCACUGUUUCUUUUGUAGAAAGAAAACCGGAUUGGCAACAAGUUUUGAUUGCAGGUAAUUAACCAUAUAACAGCUUUUCUUUUUGUACUUAGUCAACAGCUCUAGCCAUUGGCAAAUUAAAAUUUAGCCCUGGCAGAUUGUGCCAUAUGCCCUACAGACUUGCAGUGGUUAGUAGCAUUGGACUUAAAAAUGUAAGCCCUGGUUUAGUCUAUUCUGCAGGGUACUUAUGUAUUUAUUUGUUUUUGGUCUAUGCUUCAAUGGUAUGACUGGGUUCGUGUGUCAAGAGAAAGUUAUUUCAGUUGUGAUGAUCAGCAGCACUAUAAUGUAAGAGACUGAGCAGAGACCAGGUAGAAACUAUAUAGCUGAACUACAAAAUCUUACUUGUUACUGUUCUUGGCAGUGCUAAACAACAAUAAACAAAUUAAUGAUCAACCAGGCAUGGUUUGUCUUGACAUGGAUGAAGUCUUUCUUUUAUAAGACAAGGCUCAAACUGAAUUAAGUCUUAUACACUGACCAGCCACAACCUUAAAACCACUGGCAGGUGAAGUAAAUAUCAUUGAUUAGAUCAAAACAAUGGCACCUGUCAAGGGGUGGGACAUAUUAGGCAGCAGGUGAACCGUCUGUUCUUGAAUUUCAUGCGUUGGAAGCAGGAAAAAGGGGCAAGCAUACAAUCUGAGUGAAUUUGACAAGGGCCCAAUUGUGAUGGCUAGAACCCCUCAGAUCAUCUCCAAAAUGGCAAACUGGUGCAAGGAAGGACAGCCAGUAAACCGGCAUCAGGGUCAUUGGCACUCAAGGCUCAUUGAUGCACAUGCAGAGCAAAGGAUACCCCGUCUGGUCCGCUCACACAGAACAGCUACUGUAGCUCAAUCUCCUGAAAAAUACAGGGAGUGCAGAAUUAUUAGGCAAAUGAGUAUUUUGACCACAUCAUCCUCUUUAUGCAUGUUGUCUUACUCCAAGCUGUAUAGGCUCGAAAGCCUACCAAUUAAACAUAUUAGGUGAUGUGCAUCUCUGUAAUGAGAAGGGGUGUGGUCUAAUGACAUCAACACCCUAUAUCAGGUGUGCAUAAUUAUUAGGCAACUUCCUUUCCUUUGGCAAAAUGGGGCAAAAGAAGGACUUGACAGGCUCAGAAAAGUCAAAAAUAGUGAGAUAUCUUGCAGAGGGAUGCAGCACUCUUAAAAUUGCAAAGCUUCUGAAGCGUGAUCAUCGAACAAUUAAGCGUUUCAUUCAAAAUAGUCAACAGGGUCGCAAGAAGUGUGUGGAAAAACCAAGGCGCAAAAUAACUGCCCAUGAACUGAGAAAAGUCAAGCGUGCAGCUGCCGCGAUGCCACUUGCCACCAGUUUGGCCAUAUUUCAGAGCUGCAACAUCACUGGAGUGCCCAAAAGCACAAGGUGUGCAAUACUCAGAGACAUGGCCAAGGUUAGAAAGGCUGAAAGACGACCACCACUGAACAAGACACACACGCUGAAACGUCAAGACUGGGCCAAGAAAUAUCUCAAGACUGAUUUUUCUAAGGUUUUAUGGACUGAUGAAAUAAGAGUGAGUCUUGAUGGGCCAGAUGGAUGGGCCCGUGGCUGGAUUGGUAAAGGGCAGAGAGCUCCAGUCCGACUCAGGCGCCAGCAAGGUGGAGGUGGAGUACUGGUUUGGGCUGGUAUCAUCAAAGAUGAGCUUGUGGGGCCUUUUCGGGUUGAGGAUGGAGUCCAGCUCAACUCCCAGUCCUACUGCCAGUUCCUGGAAGACACCUUCUUCAAGCAGUGGUACAGGAAGAAGUCUGCAUCCUUCAAGAAAAACAUGAUUUUUCAUGCAGGACAAUGCUCCAUCACACGCGUCCAAGUACUCCACAGCGUGGCUGGCAAGAAAGGGUAUAAAAGAAGAAAAUCUAAUGACAUGGCCUCCUUGUUCACCUGAUCUGAACCCCAUUGAGAACCUGUGGUCCAUCAUCAAAUGUGAGAUUUACAAGGAGAGAAAACAGUACACCUCUCUGAACAGUGUCUGGGAGGCUGUGGUUGCUGCUGCACGCAAUGUUGAUGGUGAACAGAUCAAAGCACUGACAGAAUCCAUGGAUGGCAGGCUUUUGAGUGUCCUUGCAAAGAAAGGUGGCUAUAUUGGUCACUGAUUUGUUUUUUUGUUUUGUUUUUGAAUGUCAGAAAUGUAUAUUUGUGAAUGUUGAGAUGUUAUAUUGGUUUCACUGGUAAUAAUAAAUAAUUGAAAUGGGUAUAUAUUUGUUUUUGUUAAGUUGCCUAAUAAUUAUGCACAGUAAUAGUCACCUGCACACACAGAUAUCCCCUAACAUAGCUAUAACUAAAAACAAACUAAAAACUACUUCCAAAAAUAUUCAGCUUUGAUAUUAAUGAGUUUUUUGGGUUCAUUGAGAACAUGGUUGUUGUUCAAUAAUAAAAUUAAUCCUCAAAAAUACAACUUGCCUAAUAAAUCUGCACUCCCUGUAUAAUGCUGUCCGUGAUAGAAAUGUGUCAGAACACACAGUGCAUUGCAUUAUUGGGUGUAUGGGGCUUCAUAGCUGCAGACUGGUCAUAGUGCCUAUAAAGACCCCUGUCCACUGCAAAAAGCGUCUUUAAUGGGGACCUGAGAGGGAGAACUGCACUAUAGAGCAAUGGAAGAAGGGUGACUGGACUGACUUGCGUUGUCGUUUUGAUCAGAUUGAUGGCAAGAUGUUUGUGCGUUGUUUACCUGGCGAAGAUAGCAGCAGGAUGCACUAUGGGAAGAAGGCAGUGUUAUGUUCUGGACAUUAUUCUGCUGGGAAACCUGGGGUCCUGGCAUUCACGCGGAUGUUACUUUGACACGUACCUCCUAUCUAGAGAUUAUUGGAGAUUAAGUUCACCCCGUCAUGGCAAUGGUGUUCCCUAAUGACAGUGGUCUCUUUCAGUGUAAUAAUGCACUCUGCCACACUGCAAAAAGUGAUCAGGAAUGGUUUAAGGGACAUGACAAAGAGUUGAAGGCAUGACCUUGGCCUCCAAAUCCCCAAUACAAUUAAGUAGUUGUGGAAGGUGCUGGAAACAAGUCCUAUCCAUGGAAGCAUUUAAAGGAUCUCCUGGUAAUGUCUUAAACCAGAUUCCACAGGACUUGUUCAGAGGUCUUGUGGAGUUCAUGCUUCGAAACAUCAAAGCUGUUUUUGGCAGGACAAGGGAGUCCUACAUGAUGUUGGGCAGGUGGUUUUGAUGAGGCUGCACAGUGUAGUCUUAAAGUGUAUUACAUGCAAGCAGACUUAAUUGCAAUACCCUACCAGAUAAAUGUGACAUCAGUGGCAACAUUUCAAUUGGUACUAGACUUCUUGGUGGCUGUACUUGUAAUUCAGUUGGUGCUAAAGCACAUUACUGCAGUUAUUGAUGCAAAGAGUCUUUGGGUAAUGUUCGGGGUUUUUUGUUUUUUUUUUGUGUAAAUUUUUCUUAAUCUCUUCCAGAUGUGGGAAUAACUUCUGUGCAACGCACCGCUAUGCAGAAACUCACAACUGUUCAUAUGACUACAAGACUGCGGGAAGACAAUAUUUGCAAGAGGCAUGUCCUGUUGUCACUGCACCAAAACUUCCCAAAAUCUAACUCCAGUCAAGACCAAGAAAAGGAUUUCCUUUUCAUACAUUAUUUAUUGUCUCACCCCCCCCACACACACACACAAAUAAAGAUUUGCCAAGUCACUUAACGUCUACUCGGCUAUCAUAAUGUGAACAUCAUCUUACAUGGUCAGUUGUUUGAUCCUUUAAUCAAAGUCUAACAAGGGUUUUUUAAAAAGAAAAUAUUUUCACUAUGAUGAUUAACUUUUGUUACCUCACGUCUCGUGUUAAGUGUUUUAUAUUGGGGAGAAAAUGCUAUUUCACUAGACAAGUCUUUCAAAAGAUGCACUUUACUGAAUAUUUACUGUAUAAAGAUACAGUGCUAAGGAGUCAUUUAUUCAUAUUUACUUGUGGUUGACUGGGGAGGGGGGGUUCUUGUUUUUCGUUUUUAAUUUAAAUUGUCUGUCACUUUAAUCAUUUUUUUUUUUUCUCCUAAUUGGCAUUAUAAACAUUCUAAUUUCAAUGUAUAUUGUGACCACAGUACCAAGCAACACUCUAUGGUUUGUAAUGAAAUAUAUAUUGGGCCACAAAGCCAUUAAGUGAAAUUCAUUUUAAACUUUUGCAAACCUAUAUUUUAAAUGUCUUUCCUUUAAAUGAUUUGUCCUCCUAAAAUUAUAAUAAAUAUUGCC
rnacentral:lncRNA from 1 species